UUGACCUCAAAUCAGGUAGGUACUACCCGCUGAC
rnacentral:rRNA from 1 species